rnacentral:tRNA from 1 species
GCCCGGGUGGUGGAAUGGUAGACACGGAGGACUUAAAAUCCUCUUCCUUCUGGAGUACGGGUUCGAGCCCCGUCCUGGGCACCA